rnacentral:tRNA from 2 species
GCGGCUGUAGCUCAGUUGGUAGAGCACAACCUUGCCAAGGUUGGGGUCACGAGUUCGAGUCUCGUUAGCCGCUCCA